ACGCGCAGAACCUUACCAACCCUUGACAUCCUUGGACCGUCGCAGAGAUGCGUCUUUCUCGUAAGAGACCAAGUGACAGGUGCUGCAUGGCUGUCGUCAGCUCGUGUCGUGAGAUGUUCGGUUAAGUCCGGCAACGAGCGCAACCCACACCCUUAGUUGCCAUCAUUCAGUUGGGCACUCUAGGGGAACUGCCCGUGAUAAGCGGGAGGAAGGUGUGGAUGACGUCAAGUCCUCAUGGCCCUUACGGGUUGGGCUACACACGUGCUACAAUGGUAGUGACAAUGGGUUAAUCCCAAAAAGCUAUCUCAGUUCGGAUUGGGGUCUGCAACUCGACCCCAUGAAGUCGGAAUCGCUAGUAAUCGCGUAACAGCAUGACGCGGUGAAUACGUUCCCGGGCCUUGUACACACCGCCCGUCACACCAUGGGAGUUGGGUCUACCCGAAGGCGGUGCGCCAACCUU
rnacentral:rRNA from 1 species